rnacentral:rRNA from 1 species
GAUGAACGCUAGCUACAGGCUUAACACAUGCAAGUCGAGGGGCAGCAUGGUCUUAGCUUGCUAAGGCCGAUGGCGACCGGCGCACGGGUGAGUAACACGUAUCCAACCUGCCGUCUACUCUUGGACAGCCUUCUGAAAGGAAGAUUAAUACAAGAUGGCAUCAUGAGUUCACAUGUUCACAUGAUUAAAGGUAUUCCGGUAGACGAUGGGGAUGCGUUCCAUUAGAUAGUAGGCGGGGUAGCGGCCCACCUAGUCUUCGAUGGAUAGGGGUUCUGAGAGGAAGGUCCCCCACAUUGGAACUGAGACACGGUCCAAACUCCUACGGGAGGCAGCAGUGAGGAAUAUUGGUCAAUGGGCGAGAGCCUGAACCAGCCAAGUAGCGUGAAGGAUGACUGCCCUAUGGGUUGUAAACUUCUUUUAUAAAGGAAUAAAGUCGGGUAUGUAUACCCGUUUGCAUGUACUUUAUGAAUAAGGAUCGGCUAACUCCGUG